UCCAGUCAAGCUCAUUCGGUUGUCAGAUGACCAUGCCUGGAUCCAGGUGAGUUCUUGACAUAGUGGAUUUUGUUAGUGUAAUAUAAGGAGAUGUUGUAGACAUUAACCCCUUGCUGCCACUAGCUUCUGUGGGAUUCUAUUAUUUAAAAUGUCCAGUGGUUACAAGCUGAGGUUCUGCUGACUUCCUAUUUACUAUUCUAUUACUACUUCUAUUACUAUUCUAUUACUACUUCUAUUUACUAUUUUUCUAAUCUCCUCUUAUUGUUGAAUGAUAUAUUUCAGGAUAGGACUGCAAAGUCUCUUUGUUCCAGGCCUGAUGUAAUAAAUCUCAUGUUGGACAUGCGCUGGUUGGGUGUCACAGGAGAUGGAUGACAUUUCUCUAGGGUUGAGCAUUGAAGUUGGCACUGCAAGGCAGAAGAGCCAGAGAGGCUGCUAGACUGCCUGCUCAGCCGACACUGUAGUGUUCAUGUGACAGAAAGUCUAAAUUGCAGGAAAAUUGCUGCUGUCUUCCCUCUUCUCAGCUGGAUGCAUGAGAUUCCCUUGAAGUAAUAACAUAAUACAAUUAUCAUUCAGAGCCAGAGAGGUGUGGAUGAGAGCUGUGAGGAAGCACUCAUGAACCACUUUUGGGGUACUAAACAUGGUGCUGAGGUGAGCUGCUGCAGGAUGAAUUUCACCACUGUGUGGAAAAGACAUAACGUCUAUGCAAGUCCCACAUGAAAGUCAAAGAGAAACUUAAACUGGUCCUCUGCACAAGGAUGGAUUUCAGCUCUUCUGCCCAACAUAUGUUUUGAGGCAUUGAGCAGAGAGACUGUUUGCUCGGAACCUGCAGGCACAUUUCUGUGUUAGUGGCUGACUUAUCUACGCCUAGGCGGUGUUCUUUAGCACACUUGAAUAAGCCACUAAUCCUGGUCAGUAGGAGUAGUAAUUAAACAUCUAAAAUGUCUGCUAUUCAAAUAUUUUGCAUUCACCACAUUACACUUUAGCAGCUUUGGCAUAUUAUACAUUAUGGGCCUGAUCCAUAGCCCAUUGAAAUCAGAUGAUGCUGUUGCCUGUUGUGAUGCCUACUUUUCCCUCUCCUCACCAAUAACCAGUUCAGAGCAGAUGUAGAGAUUUGCUCAUAUUGCUGAUCACUGUGAACAUUUCUCUAAACUCUACUCCAGCCUUUCAGCACAGGUGCAGAGCAAUGCUGAGUGUUGAGAGCUACUGCUUUGGCUCUCUACUUCUUUCAGCACCAUUCUGCAGCUUGAACAGCUGAUCCCUAAGAGAUUAAGAAGUUUACUUAAUGAAAAAUAGUGUUUCUUUUGCUAGUUCUCAGAAUGCUUCCAAUGUCUCCAGCUGACGUACAGAUGAUGAAUGAGGUCAACUUGCUUAAAUCUAUGUUAUUUACAUUAUAUUACUGUAACUCAUUAAACAUGCUUAAAGGAAAAUAUAGUUUUCAUAAUAGAAUAAAAUUGAAUAUCUUUCCAAUGACUUGCACCAUUUCAGGUCACCUUCUUCUCCAUGUCCUAUACUGAGAAGAAUUAGCAUCACCUUCAGAGAAAGUGGGUCAUCCAACCUUUUAUGCAUAGAUACAAAAUGGUAAACCAAAGUGGGGGAGGGGAAGGAGGCAGAAGCAAAAAUUACAAUUAGUCUAAGUGAGAGCCCACUGCUACUUCUAGACUAAUACAGUCAAAACUGGAAGUUGAAAGUAAGGAAUUAGACAUUUAUUUUUAAGGAUUAGGCCUAACUUUAAUGUUAAUACUCAGGAAAUUCAGUGGGAUGACCAGUAUGAAAUCAU